UCAUAUAAGAGGUACUCAUAGGAUGGAG
rnacentral:piRNA from 1 species